ACACACUUGUGAGACGAGCCACGCCCAGAGCACCGGCAGCGGCUCCAAAGACCUUCAGUGGCUUACUGCUUCCUGACUGGGCCAGCAAAACGGAGCCCAUUCCGAUCAGACACAUGCCACUGAAGCAUCGACGGCGCAAAGGAUCCCGUUCUCUGCGGCAGAAUUCAUUUGUAAAGAAAACACAGCUGAUUGACCGGUGUGACCGUACUUAGUUUCCUGUUGCCUGGCCACACUCUGUCGCUAUGGGUUGAACCACGAACCACUAACAAUACAGUAUAUAGAUGUGCCAGUUCAUACAGCGAACAUGUCGCAAAUCGAACACAUGAAACUGGAUCCCAGGGUCUUCGGCUCUGGCGUUCGGCUACCGCCGCGUCAUCAAGAGCCAAGCAACGCUUUGCAUGUAACUGCAUACAACAAUAGAAUACAACACAAAACUGAUCAACACAAGAAUAUAAAUAAAUAGAACACAAAAUGAGGUCAAUUCAUAGCUUGUUGCCAUUGGUUUUUAAUCAGCUACAGAAAAUCACGGAUGGCCGUGACAAUGUGCCACAGCGUGUUGCGUUUCCGAAUUUGACAUUGACUUUGCUUCCAAAACGAAUCCUUGUCAGUCGGUCAUGCUUUGUUUUUUAUGUUUCGAUAAUCUACUCCGCUCAAGUAUCAUUCCAAAAUUGUUUGUUCUGUCCGAGAAAAAUAGCUUGUUCAGCUUGAUAGUUAUAUGGGGUACCUCGCCGUGUGCCUCACGAAAUUCGUCCAGCAGACGGUAGUAGUGCUCCGUGGCUAUCGGUUCUGUGCUGGCCUUACAAUUGGCAUGGUCCUCGCUUUCCUCCUCAAGGAGGAAAUUCUUCUACUGCGCGAGGGCAUAGGGCAGAUUCUCAAUAUUCCCUGGGCUCUGCUGUCCGAUGCCCUCACGCAGUACAAGAAUUUCCUCCUCAAGGAGGAAAGCUAGGACCAUGCCAAUUGCAAUGCCAGCAGUGAUCCCAUAGCCAUACGGGGGACCUCGCCGUGUGCCUCAGGAAAUUCGUGCAGCAGACGGUAGUAGUGCUCCGUGGCUAUCGGUUCAGUGCUGGCCUUACAAUUGGCAUGGUCCUCGCUUUCCUCCUCAAGGAGGAAAUUCUUCUACUGCGCGAGGGCAUAGGGCAGAUUCUCAAUAUUCCCUGGGCUCUGCUGUCCGAUGCCCUCACGCAGUACAAGAACUUCCUCCUCGAGGAGGAAAGCUAGGACCACUCGAAUUGCAAUGCCAGCAGUGAGCCCAUAGCCACGGAGCCUUACCACCGGCUGUUGGACGAACUGCCUGGGGCAUACGGCAAGGUCCCCCAGAUAAAUCUUAAGCUGAACAAGAUAUUCCUCAAGCGGCUGGACGAGAGCGACUACCUUCAUUCUCAGAGCGGAGAUUCAACGUGUCUCCCACUCCAGCUGCGACGGAUCACUUUCCAAUUAUGGGUGGACUUCCUACUGCAGAGGAGGCAUUCGGAAAGGUCAUGUCGGUCAAUGGGGAGCAACAAAAGACGCUGGACGAGAACCGAAACCUGCCCAAGGACCAAGGACUGCAUAAUCAUCAAGUUCCUACAGAAUGCCUAUCACCGGAACAUUUGGGACACGGACAGCUUUUUACUGGAGACCCAACUGUCCACCAGUUGCCGGACAUAUUCUGCGAGCAGCUUCAUCCGAUUCCGGCAGGCCUCCACGGACUGGAUUUGAUGUCUACCGUGCAUAAAGUAUCUUCAGAAUUUGGCUCUCUUGCUCAUCUUUCACAGAGAGUUUAUCCAGAAAGCAAGAAGCCACCAAAACCCCGGCCCUCUCCAUUUCUUCCUUCGGCAUCUUGGAGAACGGCACAUGCUGUGGCCCAUUCGCAAGGCAAUCCGUGAUCUUCUGUAGCUGAUUAAAAGCCAAUGGCAACAAGCUAUUAAUUGACCUCAUUUUGUGUUCUAUUUAUUUAUAUUCUUGUGUUGAUCAGUUUUGUGUUGUAUGCAGUUAGUUACAUGCAAAGCGUUGAAUGGCUCUUGACGACGCGGCGGUAGCCGAACGCCAGGGCCGAAGACCCUGGGAUCCAGUUUCAUGGGUUCGAUGUGCUGUAUGAACUGGCACAUCUGUAUAUGCUGUAUGGUUAGUGGUUGAAAAUAAUUUAUUAUCUAUACUAUAAUGAGUUCUAUCAUAGGUUCAUCCAUAGGUUCUAUGUAAUUAUAAUUAGAAUAAUAAUUACUAAUUAUCAAAUGGAAAAUAUUACAUUUUCUGUUAAAUAAAUAACUUAACAUGUGAUAAGUUAGAAGUUAGAAAUUCAAUCGCUUUGUGUUUUAAAGCGGCUGUAAAGUGACCUAAAGUCUUGUUACGUACUGUAAUCAGAGGGAAAUCGGUGUACCAACAAUUUUUUGUACAUUAUCUUAUCUAGAAAGUACACCCAUAAGAGAAGCCCGUGGAGCGUCGAUAUUAGUAAUUUUUAUUAUUUGUAUACUCUUGCAGCGGAUAGCAUAAUGCUCCCCGCAAUCUUGCAUUGCGGAAAUAGAAGCACUCCCGACACUCUCCAACUGUUUUGGCUUUCAAGAAACUGCUUGUUUGUGCAUACCGCGGCGCACCCCUCCUUUAGCUUUCGUACUUUCUUCUGUCAUCAUUAUUGAUGAUACUAUAAUGUGUAAUGGGCUUAGAAACCCACAUAGUACAUAGUAUUUAUGCCCAUGUAUGUAUAUUUAUGUAUGUAUGACUUUAGAUUAUGUUCGAUAAUCUAAACGAUAGUCUACGAAGAAAUGCUCUCUACGAGCGUAUUGUAUAUUCUUUAUUGUGAGAAGUCCGCACUAUUAUCUCUUUUAUGAUCAUCUCCACAGUUUAAUUCUGUAACUACAACUUCACAAACUUUGAUUAAAAGUCUUUUGUUUGGGUACAAGGACAGUUUCCUGGACUUGGACUUGCGCCUGAUCGGAACUCGAGGAUUGUCCAAGUCCAGUUCCAUGAUCUGCCCAAAACUAUUCCCUUUUCGAUUCCACUACUAGGACGAAAACCCAAUACAGAAAUGCGACGACUAAGGCUUAUCUCAACUGGCAGACGCAGAAACAAAGAAAAGGCAGCAAUAAGAUGGGGCUUUAUCUUUAAUCAGUCAAAAAUUAAAUUCGUGUCACGUUUUCUGUGUCUCUUUCCUCCGCUGGAGGCAGGAUGCAGAGUAAUUUAGCUUAUGGAGAUAUUCAAAACAUGAUCAUUGCACACACUUAUGACUGACUGGCUCUCCUGCUGCUCCAGUUGCCACACACUUGUGAGACGAGCCACGCCCAGAGCACCGGCAGCGGCUCCAAAGACCUUCAGUGGCUUACUGCUUCCUGACUGGGCCAGCAAAACGGAGCCCAUUCCGAUCAGACACAUGCCACUGAAGCAUCGACGGCGCAAGGGAUCCCGUUCUCUGCGGCAGAAUUCAUUUGUAAAGAAAACACAGCUGAUUGACCGGUGUGACCGUACUUAGUUUCCUGUUGCCUGGCCACACUCUGUCGCUAUGGGUUGAACCACGAACCACUAACAAUACAGUAUAUAGAUGUGCCAGUUCAUACAGCGAACAUGUCGCAAAUCGAACACAUGAAACUGGAUCCCAGGGUCUUCGGCUCUGGCGUUCGGCUACCGCCGCGUCAUCAAGAGCCAAGCAACGCUUUGCAUGUAACUGCAUACAACAAUAGAAUACAACACAAAACUGAUCAACACAAGAAUAUAAAUAAAUAGAACACAAAAUGAGGUCAAUUCAUAGCUUGUUGCCAUUGGUUUUUAAUCAGCUACAGAAAAUCACGGAUGGCCGUGACAAUGUGCCACAGCGUGUUCCGUUUCCGAAUUUGACAUUGACUUUGCUUCCAAAACGAAUCCUUGUCAGUCGGUCAUGCUUUGUUUUUUAUGUUUCGAUAAUCUACUCCGCUCAAGUAUCAUUCCAAAAUUGUUUGUUCUGUCCGAGAAAAAUAGCUUGUUCAGCUUGAUAGUUAUAUGGGGUACCUCGCCGUGUGCCUCACGAAAUUCGUCCAGCAGACGGUAGUAGUGCUCCGUGGCUAUCGGUUCUGUGCUGGCCUUACAAUUGGCAUGGUCCUCGCUUUCCUCCUCAAGGAGGAAAUUCUUCUACUGCGCGAGGGCAUAGGGCAGAUUCUCAAUAUUCCCUGGGCUCUGCUGUCCGAUGCCCUCACGCAGUACAAGAAUUUCCUCCUCAAGGAGGAAAGCUAGGACCAUGCCAAUUGCAAUGCCAGCAGUGAUCCCAUAGCCAUACGGGGGACCUCGCCGUGUGCCUCAGGAAAUUCGUGCAGCAGACGGUAGUAGUGCUCCGUGGCUAUCGGUUCAGUGCUGGCCUUACAAUUGGCAUGGUCCUCGCUUUCCUCCUCAAGGAGGAAAUUCUUCUACUGCGCGAGGGCAUAGGGCAGAUUCUCAAUAUUCCCUGGGCUCUGCUGUCCGAUGCCCUCACGCAGUACAAGAACUUCCUCCUCGAGGAGGAAAGCUAGGACCACUCGAAUUGCAAUGCCAGCAGUGAGCCCAUAGCCACGGAGCCUUACCACCGGCUGUUGGACGAACUGCCUGGGGCAUACGGCAAGGUCCCCCAGAUAAAUCUUAAGCUGAACAAGAUAUUCCUCAAGCGGCUGGACGAGAGCGACUACCUUCAUUCUCAGAGCGGAGAUUCAACGUGUCUCCCACUCCAGCUGCGACGGAUCACUUUCCAAUUAUGGGUGGACUUCCUACUGCAGAGGAGGCAUUCGGAAAGGUCAUGUCGGUCAAUGGGGAGCAACAAAAGACGCUGGACGAGAACCGAAACCUGCCCAAGGACCAAGGACUGCAUAAUCAUCAAGUUCCUACAGAAUGCCUAUCACCGGAACAUUUGGGACACGGACAGCUUUUUACUGGAGACCCAACUGUCCACCAGUUGCCGGACAUAUUCUGCGAGCAGCUUCAUCCGAUUCCGGCAGGCCUCCACGGACUGGAUUUGAUGUCUACCGUGCAUAAAGUAUCUUCAGAAUUUGGCUCUCUUGCUCAUCUUUCACAGAGAGUUUAUCCAGAAAGCAAGAAGCCACCAAAACCCCGGCCCUCUCCAUUUCUUCCUUCGGCAUCUUGGAGAACGGCACAUGCUGUGGCCCAUUCGCAAGGCAAUCCGUGAUCUUCUGUAGCUGAUUAAAAGCCAAUGGCAACAAGCUAUUAAUUGACCUCAUUUUGUGUUCUAAUUAUUUAUAUUCUUGUGUUGAUCAGUUUCGUGUUGUAUUCUAUUGUUGUAUGCAGUUACAUGCAAAGCGUUGAAUGGCUCUUGACGACGCGGCGGUAGCCGAAGGCCAGAGCCGAAGUUUUAUCAUAGGUUCAUCCAUAAGUUCUAUAAAAUUUCUACGAAAAAUGGGUAUUUUUCCGAGAACAAUCUCUCUGUACGAUUAUGAUUUCCCAGAUGGAUAGACGCCUAUUUCGACUCGACUAUUGAUACUUAUCAAGAAGAUAUAUGUAUAUGCAAUACGUGCAUUCAUAUGUGCAUUUCCAAUAAGAUUUUAAAAUAAGAACACAUUCCAUACACUUUUGUCCCGGUAUUAGUUUUUAUAACCAAGUGACAUGACAUUUCAUUUACUUCGAUCUGAGAACUCAGCAACAGUUCACAUGGAAUAUUUAUAAUUCAAGUUCUUCCACAACAUUCCUCUUACAUAAUCAACUAUCUAAGGAAAGCUUAAGAUCCGUUCAACAGUU